GAUGAACGCUAGCGGCAGGCCUAACACAUGCAAGUCGAGGGGUAGCAGGAUUAAGCUUGCUUAAUUGCUGACGACCGGCGCACGGGUGCGUAACGCGUAUGCAACCUACCUUAUACUGGGGUAUAGCCCGGAGAAAUUCGGAUUAAUCCCCCAUAGUACUAAUGAAUCGCAUGGUUUAUUAGUUAAAGCAUUGCGGUAUAAGAUGGGCAUGCGUCCUAUUAGCUAGAUGGUGAGGUAACGGCUCACCAUGGCUACGAUAGGUAGGGGGCCUGCGAGGUGGGUCCCCCACACUGGUACUGAGACACGGACCAGACUCCUACGGGAGGCAGCAGUGAGGAAUAUUGGUCAAUGGGCGCAAGCCUGAACCAGCCAUGCCGCGUGCAGGAAGAAUGCCCUAUGGGUUGUGAACUGCUUUUAUUUGGGAAUAAACCUCUUUACGUGUAGAGAGCUGAAGGUACCAAAUGAAUAAGCACCGGCUAACUCCGUGCCAGCCGCCGCCGUAA
rnacentral:rRNA from 1 species